rnacentral:lncRNA from 1 species
UAUGACACAAACAGUGAGGGAAGAUGCUCUAAGCACAUUCCUGCUGGAACAGCCAGAUUUUUGUCUCUCCCUCUCACAGCACCAGGAUUUGCUCUAGAGAUAAAUGAAAGCAUGAAAAUAGGGAGAAGGAAAGAAGAUUUUGAUACUAUGGAGAUUGACCACACUCAACAACUGGGGAUUUCCCUUCAAAUCCAGUGAGUUUAUCACAUCACUGAAGGCUGGGAUCCAGUACCAUGCCCUGGGCAGUCAGCAAGGACACAAGAUCACCUUCUGCUCCAGCGCCUGAGUUACAGUCAUGGACCACUGCAGGACAGAUGAGAGAUUUACUACCACUCUAUCCUGUAUUUCAAGCUCUGAGCAGGAUUCAUAGUAAGGUUCAUUCCUGUGGAACCAACUGUUUUAAAAACCAGUCUGAAAAAAAGGGGAUGGAUAAGAUGGUGCCCAUGCUGAGGGCACUCAAUUUCUUCAUACACUGUUGCUGUUACCCUGAUUUAAAUCAGUCACACCACAGGAGAUUGCAUUGCAACUGGAAUGAAAAGUAGCUUUGAUAUACAUAUAUAUAUAUAUAGCCUCACAGUGAACCUUAAACCUUAAGACUUUUUGAAAAUAACCCAGAAACUUAAAUCCAUCUCAGAAAUUCUUCCCAAUUAAAUCUUAUGUGACCUUUCAAAUGUCUGUCUGAUUCUUCAUCUCAAAUUACCAGAAAUUGUUCAUUUAAAUUACUAGUUUCAAAUGCUCAAAUUCUCUCUCUCUCCCCCUUUUUUUUUUUUUUUUUUCAAAUUCACUCCUUUGAAAUUCUUUGACUGGCUAAGGAUAACUUAUUAAAAGACAUAUUACCCCUGAUUCUUUCUUUUCCUCUUUCUUCUUUGCCCUUCAGAUUUUUUUGUCAGAGCUCAAUGGAUGAGCUGGACUGAAAAAAUAAGCAAAUCUUAGAGGUGGGUGAAUAUUUUUUGGAAGCUGUUUCCUGCUUGCCACAGGAGACACAAACAAACUUUUCUCUGUUCUCUGUGGUCAAGGAUUGGACAACCCUUGGGUGUCACAGAGCUGAGGCUCUUGGUGGCAGGCAGCUUUCCAUGUAUUUUGGCAAAUGGUGGGAAAGUUUUUGGAUUAGUGGUGGCUCCCUUUGCAUGCAGUGAGAUUCUCCAUGAUGAACUCCUUGGCCCUGUCCUCACACCUUUCUUUCUCUCCUUUCUCACCACCAUUAGGACAGAGCCCUUCCUCUCUUCUCCCACCUUCCAGAAGCAGGCCAAAAUGGAGGCAGUUUGGUAGCUAGAUUUUGGGGCUGUUUUGGUAGACCCAGCAAUAUUUGCACUAACAGUAGCACUGUCUGUGAGAAGUCCAUCUCGUAAGUGACAGAAUAAUAAAUCCAUAUGUUGUGUUGUGGGAUUUCCCA